rnacentral:rRNA from 1 species
AUUGAACGCUGGCGGCGUGCUUAACACAUGCAAGUCGUGCGGUAACAGGCGUAGCAAUACGUGCUGACGAGCGGCGAACGGGUGCGUAAUACAUGGGAAUCUGCCUUUUAGUGGGGAAUAGCCCGGCGAAAGCCGGGCUAAUGCCGCAUAAGAUCUUCGGAUGAAAGCGGGGGAUCGUAAGACCUCGCGCUGAUAGAUGAGCCCAUGCCGGAUUAGCAGUUGGUGAGGUAACGGCUCACCAAGGCGACGAUCCGUAGCUGGUCUGAGAGGACGGCCAGCCACACUGGGACUGAGACACGGCCCAGACUCCUACGGAGGCAGCAGUGGGGAAUAUUGGACAAUGGGCGCAAGCCUGAUCCAGCCAUGCCGCGUGAGUGACGAAGGUCUUCGGAUUGUAAAG